rnacentral:tRNA from 2 species
GGACUCUUAGUGUAACGGAUAGCACAAGAGAUUUCGGUCCUCUUGAUCUGGGUUCGAUUCCCAGGGAGUCCA